GGUUCGAUGGCGUAGUUGGUUAUCGCAUCUGUCUAACAUGUAUUGGACUCGUUCAGCGUUACACAGAAGGUCCCCAGUUCGAGCCUGGGUCGAAUCA